CAGCCGCCGCGGUAACACGUAGGGUGCGAGCGUUAAUCGGAAUUACUGGGCGUAAAGCGUGCGCAGGCGGUUCGUUAAGACAGAUGUGAAAUCCCCGGGCUUAACCUGGGAACUGCAUUUGUGACUGGCGAGCUAGAGUAUGGCAGAGGGGGGUAGAAUUCCACGUGUAGCAGUGAAAUGCGUAGAGAUGUGGAGAAAUACCGAUGGCGAAGGCAGCCCCCUGGGCCAAUACUGACGCUCAUGCACGAAAGCGUGGGGAGCGAACAGGAUUAGAUACCCCCGUAGUCCCUGUCUCUUAUAC
rnacentral:rRNA from 1 species